UACGUAGGGGGCAAGCGUUGUCCGGAAUCAUUGGGCGUAAAGAGCGCGUAGGCGGUCCGGUAAGUCCGCUCUGAAAGUCCGGGGCUCAACCCCGGGAGGCGGGCGGAUACUGUCGGGCUAGAGUCCGGAAGAGGCGAGUGGAAUUCCUGGUGUAGCGGUGAAAUGCGCAGAUAUCAGGAAGAACACCGGUGGCGAAGGCGGCUCUCUGGGCCUUACCUGACGCUGAGGAGCGAAAGCGUGGGUAGCGAACAGG
rnacentral:rRNA from 1 species